UACGUAGGGUGCAAGCGUUGUCCGGAAUUAUUGGGCGUAAAGAGCUCGUAGGCGGUUUGUCGCGUCUGCUGUGAAAACUCAGGGCUUAACUCUGAGCUUGCAGUGGGUACGGGCAGGCUAGAGUUCGGUAGGGGAGACUGGAAUUCCUGGUGUAGCGGUGAAAUGCGCAGAUAUCAGGAGGAACACCGAUGGCGAAGGCAGGUCUCUGGGCCGAUACUGACGCUGAGGAGCGAAAGCGUGGGGAGCGAACAGG
rnacentral:rRNA from 1 species